AUUGAACGCUGGCGGCAUGCUUUACACAUGCAAGUCGAACGGCAGCGCGGGCUUCGGCCUGGCGGCGAGUGGCGAACGGGUGAGUAAUACAUCGGAACGUGCCCAGUAGUGGGGGAUAGCUCGGCGAAGGCCGGAUUAAUACCGCAUACGACCUGAGGGUGAAAGCGGGGGAUCUUCGGACCUCGCGCUAUUGGAGCGGCCGAUGGCAGAUUAGCUAGUUGGUGGGGUAAAGGCUUACCAAGGCGACGAUCUGUAGCUGGUCUGAGAGGACGACCAGCCACACUGGGACUGAGACACGGCCCAGACUCCUACGGGAGGCAGCAGUGGGGAAUUUUGGACAAUGGGCGAAAGCCUGAUCCAGCAAUGCCGCGUGUGUGAUGAAGGCCUUCGGGUUGUAAAGCACUUUUGGCGGGAACGAAAAGGACUGUGCCAAUACCACGGUUCGAUGACGGUACCCGCAGAAUAAGCACCGGCUAACUACGUG
rnacentral:rRNA from 1 species